UUUGUAAUGCUUUCAGAGAGAAAUGCCAGAAAACAUGUUGAGAACUCAAAGAAUAUUGACAGUGAUAAAAAUAUCAUCCCCAAUGACAACAACAAUAAAAAGCCAAUGACUGUAUAUGUUCCCUUUUCUGUGAAUCAGAGCAGCUAAAUUGUGCACAGUAUGUCUUAGGCUAUUAACAGAUAUUCUCUUUACCAAAGCUAAUUAAUUAGGAGAAUUACAUUCUAAGUAAGGGGAGCUGAGAUUUGUUACUUUUUCUGUUUCUGUAAAAUUUUAGGCCACAGUAAAUCUAUGGUAGCUGUGAGGUUAUUGUAUUUGUUACAAUAUUUAUAUCUCUUGCUAUUACUUUUUGAGUCUUUGAUGGCAUAAAAAACUGUGUCUCUAGAAGGACUCACAUUCUAAGUAUGUAAUGACAUUGUAGACAUUUUGGUUUCCAAGUAACUUCUCUAUUUUUACUUCUCUUUAAUUUCUCUUGCUUCUUCUUUUACAAUGAGCAAUGUUUUAGCAACACAGAGAAGGAAGCAUGCAAAAAGUACUCCAAUUUAAACAGAGACAAAAUACAAGGACCUGGGAGCUGCCAUUAAAGAUCAUGAACAUAUUUAGUAAUUCAUCUGAGGGGAAAUGCUCAGUAUCAGUGCAUAUAGAAAAUGUACAAAAAACCAUUUCUUUAAACAGAUGAUUACAUUGUUAUUAUUUCACUUAGGCUGCUAAUACCAGAGAUAGUUUGAGAAUGCUUUCACAUGAAGAAAUAAGUGCAGUAUUUUCUCCAGUGCCAUCACCUGCUCUGUUGUUCCCUCCUCCGUGACCUUAGUGCAAUCUGUUAAACAGUAUAAGUGCUUAAUAUGAUAACUCCACAAUUUGUAAAAGGGACAAUGUUUGGAACACAAGGAGAAAGCAGCAGGAGACCUCUUACUUUGAUGGCACUUCACUGGUAUCUUGCUGCAUACACUGAUCUCUGCAGUAUUUACCACUGGUGUGCUCAGUGAAACACCAAGUCAUCAUUUGUGCUUGGAUUGUAACAAAGCUUAAAGGUAUUUGCCUAUUACUUACAGAAGGCAGAAAAGAAACACCUCAAGGUAUACUCAAAACAGAACUUCAUGGCCAACUCUGCCUGGAGCUACUUUUGUCAGAGCAGCUGGAAUUGUUUUAAUUGUAGUUCCUAUAAUCAUCAUUGUAAUUGACUACUGCCUCUUCUGCAGAGAAGAAAAACAUGAUGGCCAUUCAAAUAUCUAAAAUAAAAAGCCCAGAAAAACUAUCA
rnacentral:lncRNA from 1 species